UCUAUUCGUUCCUCUCUUGCAAUCUCCUAGUUGCCUACGCAUUCUGUCUUUAUACUUGCAUCCAGGAAACCUAUUUGGGUCUCAUCUCUACAAUCUCGUAUCUCUGCAGUAGCCUUUCUUGAUGAUAUGAGAGCUAAUAUAGGCGAAUCCCUGCACCAUAGGCGUCACAUCUUCUUGCCAAAGCUGGAUCUCUAUGCAUUUUUGUGAUCGUUGAACAAAACCCAAGAAACCGGUGGCUGCGUGGAAUAACAACGAACAUGACUGCGAUGGGGAAAUUUAAGCAUACCCUGCUUAUUUUUGCAGGUCUGAUUACCGCAGCUAACGGGAAGAAAAAGACAUGACCCCCCUCUCAAAAUGUGCUGUUUUCAACAGGGAAGAAAAAGACAUGACCCCCACUCAAAGUGUGCUGUUUUCAACAGGGAAGAGAAUUUGAAACAUGUAUUAACACACAGACAACUCCAACUGAGUGGUGGUAAAGGCCCUGGAGCUUAAUAUGGCUAUCUUGGACAUUUGAAUCAAUAUAGAGCUCUCUAUCAAAGGUUGUGAGCUUGAGAGAAAAGGGACAGGAUGAUUGUGUUGCUUUCUUGUCUUCGUCAAAUGCACCAUACUCUCUAUACAAUGGUACCAAGCUGAGAGAGUAUUUGGAAAAAAGAAACAAGAUUCAAGAUAGAUGUCGAGCAGACAGCCAUGUUUUGUUUGACAUUCCUAUUUUGGUUUUGAAGGAGAUAUUCAGCUUUGGUCAAUCUUUCCAACAUGUGAUUUGUUUGUAGUACUUGUAAAGCUUUUGUUUUGAUAUUUCUGAUAUACUGUCCCACAAUAAUAGUCAUAAUAUAUGCCAUUUAGCAGACACCUUUAUCCAAAGCAACUUAGUCAUGCAGUCAUAUAUUUUGUAUGUGUGGCCCUGGGAAUCAAACCUACAAUGCCGUGUUCUACCAACUAAUGUCACACCCUGACCAUAGUUUGCUUUGUAUGUUUCUAUGUUUUGUUUGGUCAGGGUGUGAUCUGAGUGGGCAUUCUAUGUUACAUGUCUAGUUUGUCUAUUUCUAUGUUUGGCCUGAUAUGGUUCUCAAUCAGAGGCAGGUGUUAGUCAUUGUCUCUGAUUGGGAACCAUAUUUAUGUAGCCUGUUUGGUGUUGGGUUUUGGUGGGUGAUUGUUCCUGUCUCUGUGUUUGCACCAGAUAGGGCUGUUUUGGGUUUUCAUGUUUCUUGUUUUGUUAGUUUGUUCAUGUGUAGAGUUUUUAUUAAAGAACCAUGAAUAGAAACCACG
ensembl:lncRNA